GACGAACGCUGGCGGCGUGCUUAACACAUGCAAGUCGAACGGAAAGGCCCUGCUUUUGUGGGGUGCUCGAGUGGCGAACGGGUGAGUAACACGUGAGUAACCUGCCCUUGACUUUGGGAUAACUUCAGGAAACUGGGGCUAAUACCGGAUAGGAGCACCUGCUGCAUGGUGGGGGUUGGAAAGUUUCGGCGGUUGGGGAUGGACUCGCGGCUUAUCAGCUUGUUGGUGGGGUAGUGGCUUACCAAGGCUUUGACGGGUAGCCGGCCUGAGAGGGUGACCGGCCACAUUGGGACUGAGAUACGGCCCAGACUCCUACGGGAGGCAGCAGUGGGGAAUAUUGCACAAUGGGCGGAAGCCUGAUGCAGCAACGCCGCGUGCGGGAUGACGGCCUUCGGGUUGUAAACCGCUUUCGCCUGUGACGAAGCGUGAGUGACGGUAAUGGGUAAAGAAGCACCGGCUAACUACGUG
rnacentral:rRNA from 1 species